UGGGCGGGACUGGAACCGGCACUUGGCACCCCUUACGCCUUACGGUGGCCGCUGCGCCCAGUCACAUCUGAGCGGAGAAUUUAAUAGGCAAGAAAGAAGGAAGAAGGCUGAAGGAAGAAGCUCCCCACUACAGAGACAGACGGAGGGGGCUCCCAAGACGAAAGAGGAGACCCCCAUUCUAGAUGUUCUUAACCCUUUGAGGGCAAAGCUCUCCGUUUAAUGCCUUGCACAUAUCAGGUUGCCAACAACAUGGUGUGGUUUAUCAAUUGUGAUAGGUUACUUAUUCGAGCCCCUGUUUACAAGAGUUUUAGUUUUGCAGGCUGAGAAGUACUAUGUUAAGAAAGAUUUUGAGGUUGUCCUCAUUCUACUGGAAGGAGUAUCAUUUGAUUUGUGAUGUCUGCCAUAGUUGGAAAGAAUUGGUGACCUGUUUAGAUUGCAUUUCUCUGGAAUGACCACAGCAAUAUUUCCAGCCCUUGAUGAUCUUCUAGAACUUUGCCACUUCCCUGCAUCAAGAGGGUUUGUCUUGGUCCAUUUUAUGCUGCUAUAACAGAACACCACAGACUGAGAAAUUUAUAAGGAAUAGAAGUUUAUUUGCCUCAUGUUUCUGGAGGCUGGGAAUUCCAAGAUCAAGGGGCUGCAUAGAUUGAGGUCCUUUUUGCUGACUCAUAACGUGGAAAGAGAGUGCACUGCAUAGAAGAAAGGAGGCCAAACUCAUUCUUUUAUCAUGAGCCUACUCCUGAAAUAACUCACUCUCAAGAUAAUGGCAUUAAUCCAUUCAUGAAGGCAGAAUACUCAUGAUGUAAUCACCUCUUAAAAGGUCCUAUUUCCUAACACUGUUGCAUUAGGGAUUAAGCUGUCAACACAUGAAUAUUGGGGGACACAUUCAAACCAUAGCAAGAGUUCUUUGUCUUUGUGACUCGGUGUGGUUCAGCAAAUUGCGAUUGGUCUGCUAUAGCGGACUUUCCCCUCACCUCCCAAAUGUUUAUUAUGAAAAAUUUCAUUUUAAAGAAAGGUGGAAGGAAUUGUUGAAAGAAUAUGUCAUCUAGUUUCUACUGUUGUUAACAUUGUGUCAUAUUUGCCUUUUCAUCCAUCCAACCACCCAUCCAUCUAGCUACCUUAUAAUUACUAUUAUUACUUAUUAUUACUAUUAUUUUUAAAGACACCUCUAUUAAAGCAACCAUCUUAUUUUUUGAUUUUAUUUAUUUUCAAAGUUAGUUGCAGACAUUAGUAUACUUUACUCCUAGACAUUUUAGCGUGAACAUAAUUAACUGGAGUAUAAUACUUGUUUUCAAUUUCUUUUUAUUUUUGAGGUAAAAUUUACAUACAGUGAAAUCCAAAUCUUAAGUGUACCACUAGAUAAAUUUUGAUAAAUGCAUUAUGCCUGGUCUUCACACACCCUUUUCAAUAUAUAGAAAAUUUCCAGAUAAUUUAUUUUGUUGUUUUUUUCACACACUAAGUUCUAGACUUUUCCAGGUCCGAGGGAACUAUUAGGGGGGAAAGUACUUGUUAUAGUAAAAAAGAUUUUAGGUGUGUUUGUUUUUAAGGUGCAGAAACACAUCGCAGAUUAAGGUCUGCAUCUCUGCUUUUUGUUAUUGUUCCAGUUUGAUCUCAGUGACAUUACAAGCAAGCAGAAACACUCAGACAUGAAAUGGCCAGUGCCUGUGAGUUAAGAGCAGGAUCUAGGUCUAUUUUUUUGAUAUGUAUCUCAACUACCUGGAAUACUUUAUACUUUUGGCACUCAAUAAAUAUUUGUUGCUGCCAGACGAUCUGCCACAAAAA
ensembl:lncRNA novel transcript